rnacentral:rRNA from 1 species
UACGGAGGGUGCGAGCGUUAUCCGGAAUCACUGGGCGUAAAGGGCGCGUAGGCGGUUUGUUAAGUCCGUUGUUAAAGACUGGGGCUCAACCCUGGCAUGGCAGUGGGUACUGGCAGGCUUGACGGCUGGAGAGGCGAGUGGAAUUACCAGUGUAGCGGUGGAAUGCGUAGAUACUGGUAGGAACACCCAUGGCGAAGGCAGCUCGCUGGACAGCUCGUGACGCUGAGGCGCGAAAGUGUGGGGAGCGAACCGG